UAGUUAAAUUUUCGAUAUACGUGCAUUUUGUAUCGAUUUGAUCCGAACUUUCCACACUUGAUCAGUCGAUUGACAAAUUGUUGAAUCCAAGUCACCAGUAAAAAUGGCAAAUCGUUACAAGCCGUCUCUACCAGCUGAGGGAGAAAAGAAAGAUGAGAUAACGACGAUCAAAUGUGCACUGAAAUCAAUAAUUCGGCCGCCAUACCAGCAGGAACUGAUCGGCAAAAUAACUGAUCUAAGUCUACAGGCUACAAUGAUUUGCAAUUUGGGUUCGUUGCUGUUCUUAUUAGAGGUGCAAAAGGCAUAUGAACGUAGGCAUCAACAAUGGUGAUUUCAGCUUCUUUGCCAAUAGCGGGGAAGAAAAGAUCAACACAUGCUUCAGUCAAGUGCUAGCAAAGCACAACCCAACAAAUCCGAAAAAAACACCAAAGCCGAAGCCAAAGCCAGAGCCAGAGCCAAAGCCGGAGCCAGAGCAACCAUCAAAGACUAAACGGAAACCCCGUGGACCAGCAAAAGAAAUUCCACCAAUCGAUCCAGAAUUCAAGGCAAUUGUGGAAGGUCUUGAUGAGGUCCAUCGCUUUGAUUGGCCUAGCAACAAAGAUUUCGAUGAAAGUGUUUCAGAUGAACACAAAUGAAGCCAUUGAAGAGAAAUACCUGCCAAAUGACAUCGACUGUGUGGUGAAACUCAUUCUCAAGGAAAAGUGCCAGCUAGUGACCCAAAUAAACUUUAUCGGUGCGGAGUUUUGUAUGACAUCGUCAAUAAGUUGAAUGUGUUCCCGGAAAUCGACCUACAUGAUCUCACGACCAAUUCAAAAAAUUGGUUCAAAGCUGUGCCGAUGUAUCUAUCUAUGCAACGCGAGAUAGAAGAAUUUAAUUUGCUGCGAGCACAUCAAGAGCCACCGAAGAAACGCAAAAAGAGAAAGCGCAGAAGACCGAAGGGUAAGAAACGACAGUGGAUCAUCAAACGAAAACAAAUGCUCGACGAUUUGGAAUAUCUACCGUGCAUUCGCAAUUUGGUGGUAGUUCCGAUGUGUGAUUUUCGGCGUACGCAUUUCAAAAUCGACUGUUCGAGUAUGUAUCAGAUCUUGUCUUCUCAAAAAUUGAUUCCGAAACAGUUAACUGAAGACGGAAAACCAAGUGACAAAAAUAUUUCACAAAAGGUUUUCAACGAGAAUAAAGAUUACAUAUGGAAUCAGUAUUUUUAUAUGCGUAAAAUUCGGUGGUUUGUCCGCCGCAAAAAGAAAUUUGACUUUUCGAUAAACAGCGAUGGAAUUGCUGUGUCUCUGCAGUAUUCCACCAAAAAGAAGGAGACCAGCAACACACAAUCGGGCACCAGUCGAUUGGACAUCAUUGACAUGUUGAAGGCGGGCAAAUUCAAAAGAUUGGGAGGUACAGAUUCAGGCAUGCGGAACUGGAAUACCACAACAAUACAUGAAAUUGAUACUUGCAAAGAAAUCAACUUUGUUAAAAAGAGCAAACAG